UAGGUACCUACUCGAAAAUCAGCCCUGUUGAUCUGAAGAGUAGCCCAGUCACCAUUUACCUGCAUGGAUCUGAAUUCAGAGACUGUAACUAAGUUUAGCCGAAGAUGUCAGCUUUUAUCUACAGAUCUGGAUGUGGUAUUUUUAUAGCCUUAUCAUUUAGAAGUGAAGACAAGAAAACAAGACCAUACACAUCUUUAAUCCCAGCACUCAGGAGGCAGAAGCAGGUGAAUCUCUGUGAAU
rnacentral:lncRNA from 1 species